CACCCCAUAAACAUAAUAUCAUCUGACUGAUACAUAUGAAUAUUUAAUUAAAGAAAUAUUAACAUACUUUAGAUGUAUAAGACACCACACCAAGUCCCAUAUUUUGGAUGUAUACAAUACCAUAAAUUGUGUAUUUUGUUAUGGCUCGUUAUCUCUUCAGCAGUAUGUGAAUACCUGUCAAUUACCCUUGAGGGAACACAAGGGCUGGAAUUUACACGUCAGUGCUGUGGUUGCUGCUGUCACAUUUCCCCUUGGAAACCUACGCCGAGGACUUUCCCCUCAGCGAGUACAUAUACACCAGCAUCACAGCAUGUCCAGCAUCACCUAUCAGCCUUCCCAUCUUGAAGAACACUUACGCAUCAGGAUCUGAGGACUCCAUCUGCAGCCUGAAGACAUGGCAAAGAUUACAGUCUCUCUCUGCGCACUGCUGGGGCUUCUGCUGGUCUUAGCCUCCGAGGGGGAAACCAAACUAGGUACACAAAGCAGGGCAUGCUGCGCACAAUUCAUCAAGGUUCCACUGCCUUUGGAGAGAAUCCGUGGUUUCAUCGAGGAACGCCAAGGGAUAUGUCGUCUCAAAGCAGUCAAGUUCAUCACCGUAAAGGGUAAGGUUGUAUGUGCCAAUCCAAAUGACCAGUGGGUUAAGGAUGCCAAGGAGUUCAUCAGGACCCCAACUGUGGCACCCUAACCUGAGGACACCUGUGGUGUUAAUCGGAAACUAUCUUUCUGCAUCCAAGGGAUGCUUUUGAUAACUCAAAAGAGCUUUGCUCUAUUUGUGUCCCUUGAUGAGCUUUGUAAGGGAUAUAACUGAAUGUAUACUAUGUCCAAUGACAUUUGUGAUUGUAAUUCAAAGUAUCCUAUUAGUGAUAAACAUGUGUAUAUUUCUGAGAAAUAUAAAAUUGUAACUUGCAUUGAUAUUUUUCAAUAAAGUUGUUGAGAAAAAAAAGAACAGUGUU
ensembl:lncRNA